UACGAAGGGGGCUAGCGUUGCUCGGAAUCACUGGGCGUAAAGGGUGCGUAGGCGGGUCUUUAAGUCAGGGGUGAAAUCCUGGAGCUCAACUCCAGAACUGCCUUUGAUACUGAGGAUCUUGAGUUCGGGAGAGGUGAGUUGGAACUGCGAGUGUAGAGGUGAAAUUCGUAGAUAUUCGCAAGAACACCAGUGGCGAAGGCGGCUCACUGGCCCGAUACUGACGCUGAGGCACGAAAGCGUGGG
rnacentral:rRNA from 1 species